rnacentral:rRNA from 1 species
AGUGAACGCUGGCGGUAGGCCUAACACAUGCAAGUCGAACGGCAGCACAGUAAGAGCUUGCUCUUACGGGUGGCGAGUGGCGGACGGGUGAGGAAUACAUCGGAAUCUACUUUUUCGUGGGGGAUAACGUAGGGAAACUUACGCUAAUACCGCAUACGACCUACGGGUGAAAGCAGGGGAUCUUCGGACCUUGCGCGAUUGAAUGAGCCGAUGUCGGAUUAGCUAGUUGGCGGGGUAAAGGCCCACCAAGGCGACGAUCCGUAGCUGGUCUGAGAGGAUGAUCAGCCACACUGGAACUGAGACACGGUCCAGACUCCUACGGGAGGCAGCAGUGGGGAAUAUUGGGCAAUGGGCGCAAGCCUGACCCAGCCAUGCCGCGUGGGUGAAGAAGGCCUUCGGGUUGGAAAACCCUUUUUUUUGGGAAGAAAAAAAGGAGGUUAAUACCCCGCUGUUCUGACGGUACCCAAAGAAUAAGCACCGGCUAACUUCGUG